UACGGAGGAUCCGAGCGUUAUCCGGAUUUAUUGGGUUUAAAGGGUGCGUAGGCGGCCUAUUAAGUCGGGGGGGAAAGACGGUAGCUUAACUAUCGCAGUGCCUUUGAUACUGAUAGGCUUGAAUGUACUUGAGGUAGGCGGAAUGUGACAAGUAGCGGUGAAAUGCAUAGAUAUGUCACAGAACACCAAUUGCGAAGGCAGCUUACUAAAGUAUGAUUGACGCUGAGGCACGAAAGCGUGGGGAUCAAACAGG
rnacentral:rRNA from 1 species